rnacentral:rRNA from 1 species
GACGAACGCUGGCGGCGUGCUUAACACAUGCAAGUCGAACGGAAAGGCCCUGCUUUUGUGGGGUGCUCGAGUGGCGAACGGGUGAGUAACACGUGAGUAACCUGCCCUUGACUUUGGGAUAACUUCAGGAAACUGGGGCUAAUACCGGAUAGGAGCUCCUGCUGCAUGGUGGGGGUUGGAAAGUUUCGGCGGUUGGGGAUGGACUCGCGGCUUAUCAGCUUGUUGGUGGGGUAGUGGCUUACCAAGGCUUUGACGGGUAGCCGGCCUGAGAGGGUGAACGGCGACCUUGGGCCUGAGAUACGGACCAGAGUGCUACGGGAGGCAGCGGGGGGGAACAUGGCCCAAUGGGCGGAAGCCUGAUGAAGCAAUGCCGCGUGCGGGAUGACGGCCUUCGGGUGGUAAACCGCUUUCGCCUGUGACGAAGCGUGAGUGACGGUAAUGGGUAAAGAAGCACCGGCUAACUACGUG